rnacentral:rRNA from 1 species
UGGCCGUAAACGAUGUGGACUUGGUGUUGGAAUGGCUCCGAGCUGCUCCAGUGCCGAAGGGAAGCUGUUAAGUCCACCGCCUGGGAAGUACGGUCGCAAGACUGAAACUUAAAGGAAUUGGCGGGGGAACGACCACAACGCGUGGAGCCUGCGGUUUAAUUUGGAUUCAACGCCGGACAUCUCACCAGGGGCGGACAGCAGAAUGAUGGCCAGGUUGAUGACCUUGCUUGACAAGCUGAGAGGAGGUGCAUGGCGUGUGACUGU